UUUCAUAUUAGCAAACUAUAGUUUUGGCAAGUCGUUUAGGACAUCUACUUUGUGCAUGACACAAGUAAUUUUUCCAACAAUUGUUUACAGACAGAUUGUGUCACUUUUAAUUGACUAUCACAAUUCCAGUGGGUCAGAAGUUUACAUACACUAAGUUAACUGUGCCUUUAAGCAGCGAAGAUAAUUCCAGAAAAUUAUGUCAAGCCUUUAGGCAAUUAGCAAAUUAGAUUCUGAUAGGCUAAUUAGAGUCAAUUGGAGGUGUACCUGUGGAUGUAUUUUAAGGCCUACCAUCAAACUCAGUGCCUCUUUGCUUGACAUCAUGGGAAAAUCAAAAGAAAUCAGCCAAGACCUCAGAAUAAAAAUUGUGGACCUCCACCAGUCUGGUUCAUUCUUGGGAGCAAUUUCCAAACACCUGAAGGUACCAUGUUCAUCUGUACAAACAAUAGUAUGCAAGUAUAAACACCAUGGGACCACACAGCCAUUAUACCGCUAAGGAAGGAGAUGCAUCCUGUCUCCUAGAGAUGAACGUAGUUUGGUGCGAAAAAUGCAAAUCAAUCCCAGAACAACAGCAAAGGACCUUGUGAAGAUGCUGGAGGAAACAGGUAGACAAGUAUCUAUGUCCACAGUAAAACAAGUCCUAUAUCGACAUAACCUGAAAGGCUGCUCAGCAAGGAAGAAGCCACUGCUCCAAAACCGCCAUAAAAAAGCCAGACUACAGUUUGCAAGUGCACAUGGGGAAAAAGAUCAUACUUUUUGGAGAAAUGUCCUCUGGUCUGAUGAAACAAUUUAACUCAUUGGCCAUAAUGACCAUAGUUAUGUUUGGAGGAAAACGAGUGAGGCUUGCAAGCCGAAGAACACCAUCCCAACUGUGAAGCAUGGGGUGGCAGCAUCAUGUUGUGGGGGUGCUUUGCUGCAGGAGGGACUGGUGCACUUCACAAAAUAGAUGGCAUCAUGAGGAAGGAAAUAUAUAUGGAUAUAUUAAAGACAUCAGCCAGGAAGGUAAAGCUCAGUUGCAAAUGGGUCUUCCAAAUGGACAAUGACCCCAAGCUUACCUUCAAAAUUGUUGCAAAAUGGCUUAAGGACAACAAAGUCAAGGUUUUGGAGUGGCCAUCACAAAGCCCUGACCUCAAGCCGAUAGAAAAUGUGUGGGCAGAACUGAAAGAGUGCGUGUGAGCAAGGAGGCCCACAAACCUGUCUCAGUUACACCAGUUCUGUCAGGAGGAAUGGGCCAAAAUUCCAACAACUUAUUGUGAGAAGCUUGUGGAAGGCUACCCAAAACAUUUGACCCAAGUUAAACAAUUUCAAGGCAAUGCUAUCAAAUACUAACAAAGUGUAUGUAAACUUCUGACCCACUGGGAAUGUGAUGAAAAAAAUAAAAGCUGAAAUAAAUAAUUCUCUCUACUAUUAUUCUGACAUUUCACAUUCUUAAAAUAAAGUAGUGAUCCUAACUGACCUAAGACAGGGAAUGUUUUCUACGAUUAAAUGUCAGGAAUUGUGAAAAAUUGUUUAAAUGUAUUUGGCUAAGGUGUAUGUAAACUUCUGACUUCAACUGUGUGUAUGUGUGUGUGUGUGUGUGUGUAUAUAUAUAUAUACAAUUUAUUUUUUAUUUUUUAAAUUUGGAAUUAGGAAGUAUAAAAUGUUUAUAUACCAAAUUAUACAUGGCUAUUUACAGAGUAAUUACAGAUUUUAUUUAUUUUUUAUUAUGAUUGAACACGAUAAUUUAUCCUAAUGUAACAGUAAUAUUUUUGUUAUGUUUUCUUUUUUGUUUGUUUUUUCCCCUUUUCUACACAAUUUGGAAUGCCCAAUUCACUCUAAGUCUUCAUGGUGGUUUAGUGACUCGCCUCAAUCCGGGUGGUAGAGGAAGAAUCUCAGUUGCCUCCGUGUCUGAGACCAUCAAUCCGUGCAUCUUAUCAUGUGCCUUGUUGAGAGCGUUACCGCUGAGACGUAGCGCGUGUGGAGGAUUCACACUAUUCUCCGCGGCAUCCACGCACAACUCGCCACGUGCCCCACCGAGAGUGAGAACCACACAUUAUAGCAACCAUGAGGAGGUUACCCCAUGUGACUCUACCCUCCCUAGCAACCAGGCCAAUUUGGUUGCUUAGGAGACCUGGCUGGAGUCACUCAGCACGCCCUGGAUUCGAACUCGCGAUUCCAGGGGUGGUAGUCAGCAUCUUUACUCGCUGAGCUACCCAGGCCCCUUUGUUAUGGAUUCUUAAGUAUUUUAAGCAUGUUAAGUGCUCAAAGAAGAAUUAAAUGACUGCAUCACUAUUUAGUUCAUAGGAUUAAACUACCGAUAACUAUUCCUGAUCGGUACUAUUGGGUGAAAAAUAGUACAAGCCAAUAACUAUUUUCUACACACAGUUGGCUUCCUCCAGGUGGCGCAGAUGGGCUCAGAACGGCCUCCGUUGAGUCUCAUUUAAACCCGCGAUGGGAGAAAGAAGAUUUCAUACAAAGUUGUACACUACAGUCUUCAAAGAUGGACAACUGACUAACAAGGACAGAAAGAGAUGUGGAAGGCCAGAUGUACAACUAAACAAGAGGAUAAGUACAUCAGAGUCUCUAGUUUGAGAAACAGACACCUCACAUGUCCUCAGCUGACAGCUUCAUUGAAUUCUACCCGCUCAACACCAGUUUCAUGUACAACAGUAAAGAGAAGACUCAGGGGUGCAGGCGUUAUGGGAAGAAUUGCAAUGAAAAAGCCACUUUUAAAACAGAAAAACAAAGAGAAAAUGUUAGAGUGGGCAAAGAAACAGACAUUGGACAACAGAUAAUUGGAGAAGAGUGUUAUGGAUCUUAACCCCAUUGAGCUUUUGUGGGAUCAGCUAGACUGUAAGGUGUGUGAGAAGUGCCCAACAAGACAGCCACAUCUAUGGCAAGUGCUACAGGAAGCGUGGGGUGAAAUGUCACCUGAGUAUCUGGACAAUCUGACAGCUAGAAUGCCAAGGAUCUGCAAAGCUGUCAUUGCUGGACGUGGAGAAUUUUUUGAUGAGAACUCUCUGAAGUAGUUUAAGAAGUUCUGAAUUUUUUUUCAAAUUGUAAUAGUAAUUUUUCAUGUUAUUAAUAUCCUGACUAUACAUUGUGAUCAGUUGAAUGCCACUUUGGUGAAUAAAAGUACCAAUUUCUUUCCAUAAGAGCAAAAUCUGUACAUUAUUCCAAACUUUUGGCCGCCAGUGUAUUGUUCUAAAAACCUUUGGUUGUGUUCUGCAGAAGAAAGAAAGUCAUACACAUCUGGUAUGGCAUGAGGGUGAGUAAAUGAUGAGAGAGUUUUCAUUUUUGGGUGAACUGUUCCUUUAAAAUGAGUAGAUUUUGAUUUGCAUAUUUUCAGUGUGGUCUCAGACUUUUGGACCCAACAGGACUUAUGUCUUGGCAAAUAUCUAACCUAUUUUAGCAGUUUCAGGAGCAGCUUAAAAUGAACACAAGUCCUGAGAAGUCUGAAAGACGAGGUAAGCUUUUUUUUUUUUUUUUUAAAAGAACUAAAAAAAGAUUAUUUUUAUUGGAAAGCCAUUGGAAAUAAAUUACUUGCAAAUGUGUAAAACCUUUGAAUUAUUUUAUGAGAUUAGGGCCUGAAAUAAUAUAUCAGAUGAACCAGUGCCUUGAACAUCUUUCUAAACCUGUGCCUCAGCUUGAGGUAACUAAUUACAAACUAACCAUUAUUCAUAACCCAGUUAUAAUUUUGGAUGAAAUGUUCCCAUUUAUUUCCAUUUCUUUAGGACUAUUUGGAUGUUGUAGGAUUAUCUACUCUAUUCCUUAGAGUGGAAGUGUAUAGUAUACAUGGCAAGCCCUGUUGACAUGUUGGAAGACUACCUUUAGAUGCAAAUGCUGAACUCUCUGAAAGACAUGUUUUCAUUAUCCAUCAUAAGAAAGGAUAUUGAGGCCAACUUCAAGCCAUUGAAGAAAUCUCUUUUGACAGAAGAAGGGUCCAAGCUGGAGCCUCAGUUGCCAGUAUAGUAUGUGAGCUGGUUGUCAGAGUCAGCACAAAACUUAAUAUCAACAGUAUUGCCACACUUAGAGGAACUCACCGUAGACCUCGGUCCAGUAAUGGAAUUUGUCUCCAGCCUCUCCUAAUACAGAAUCACAGUGCCUGAAGUGGAUGGCAAGAAAUUAUUGUUGGCACAGAAUAAAACUCAAUCUUUUGUUUUAAGAGCUGCAUUGUAAUGUCAUUUGGUUUGUUGACUUGCAUAAACUACAAAUAAGACUGUUCAAAUGAUCCAGAAAUAUUUAAAGAACUUGCUUAAUAUCAGUUUACCAUUCUGUCAUAAAGAAAAAGUACUGAGUAUGAACAUUGACUAGAUAGGAUUUAUUGUCAUUCUUUUUAAACCAUUUUAGAUUUUAGUUUUGUGAGUGUUCAGACAUAGAGAAUUUAACUGUGCAAUAAUGCCUUAAUAAUAAGUAUACUUGACGUGACUGUUGCACAUGUUCUCCUUAUUCUGAAAAUGAUGGUGCUAGCAUUGUGUGUCACACAUGUCGAUCAUGAUUACAGUUAUUAAUUUCACAUCUCCACCUUUCACAGAGCCAGGUGUGAUAUAUAAUGUUACUGUAUUUUGAAAUAAAGUGGUUGAAUAAUAUAAAUAUUUCAUAUUUAUUCUUAUUUAUAUGUAAUAAUAUUCUCUACAAUUACAGCACACUUACAUUUUUGUGCAACAGCUUUGAACAUCCUACAUUUUUCAAAUGACAAUAUUGAUUUAUUCUAUUUAAUAUGAUUAUGUACAUUAUG